UACGUAGGGGGCUAGCGUUGUCCGGAUUUAUUGGGCGUAAAGAGCGUGUAGGCGGCUGGGUAGGUCCGUUGUGAAAACUCGAGGCUCAACCUCGAGACGCCGAUGGAAACCCUCCAGCUAGAGUCCGGAAGAGGAGAGUGGAAUUCCUGGUGUAGCGGUGAAAUGCGCAGAUAUCAGGAAGAACACCCGUGGCUAAGGCGGCUCUCUAGUACGGUACUGACGCUGAGACGCGAAAGCGUGGGGAGCGAACAGG
rnacentral:rRNA from 1 species